GAUCAUGGCUCAGGAUGAACGCUAGCUACAGGCUUAACACAUGCAAGUCGAGGGGCAGCAUGGUCUUAGCUUGCUAAGGCCGAUGGCGACCGGCGCACGGGUGAGUAACACGUAUCCAACCUGCCGUCUACUCUUGGACAGCCUUCUGAAAAGGAAGAUUAAUACAAGAUGGCAUCAUGAGUUCACAUGUUAACAUNUAUAAGUAUCGU
rnacentral:rRNA from 1 species